GAUGAACGCUGGCGGCGUGCCUAAUACAUGCAAGUCGAGCGAAUGGAUUGAGAGCUUGCUCUUAUGAAGUUAGCGGCGGACGGGUGAGUAACACGUGGGUAACCUGCCCAUAAGACUGGGAUAACUCCGGGAAACCGGGGCUAAUACCGGAUAACAUUUUGAACCGCAUGGUUCGAAAUUGAAAGGCGGCUUCGGCUGUCACUUAUGGAUGGACCCGCGUCGCAUUAGCCAGUUGGUGAGGUAACGGCUCACCAAGGCAACGAUGCGUAGCCGACCUGAGGGGGUGAUCGGCCACACUGGGACUGAGACACGGCCCAGACUCCUACGGGAGGCAGCAGUAGGGAAUCUUCCGCAAUGGACAAAAGUCUGACGGAGCAACGCCGCGUGAGUGAUGAAGGCUUUCGGGUCGUAAAACUCUGUUGUUAGGGAAGAACAAGUGCUAGUUGAAUAAGCUGGCACCUUGACGGUACCUAACCAGAAAGCCACGGCUAACUACGUGCCAGCCGCCGCCAGCG
rnacentral:rRNA from 1 species